GAUGAACGCUGGCGGCGUGCCUAAUACAUGCAAGUCGAGCGAAUGGAUUAAGAGCUUGCUCUUAUGAAGUUAGCGGCGGACGGGUGAGUAACACGUGGGUAACCUGCCCAUAAGACUGGGAUAACUCCGGGAAACCGGGGCUAAUACCGGAUAACAUUUUGAACCGCAUGGUUCGAAAUUGAAAGGCGGCCUCGGCUGUCACUUAUGGAUGGACCCGCGUCGCAUUAGCUGGUUGGUGAGGUAACGGCUCCACAAGGCAACGAUGCGUAGCCGACCUGAGAGGGUGAUCGGCCACACUGGGACUGAGACACGGCCCAGACUCCUACGGGAGGCAGCAGUAGGGAAUCUUCCGCAAUGGACGAAAGUCUGACGGAGCAACGCCGCGUGAGUGAUGAAGGCUUUCGGGUCGUAAAACUCUGUUGUUAGGGAAGAACAAGUGCUAGUUGAAUAAGCUGGCACCUUGACGGUACCUAACCAGAAAGCCACGGCUAACUACGUGCCAGCAGCCGCCGUAA
rnacentral:rRNA from 1 species